rnacentral:tRNA from 1 species
GGGCCCGUAGCUCAGCUAGGUAGGAUGGCGGUAAUAACAUCCCUCUAUCCCUAGAAAGAGCAUCUGGCUUUUAACCAGGUGGUCCGGGGUUCGAAAGGCGCGCGGCCUUCCCGUGCGCUCCGAAAAUCCCCGCGGGCCCG